AUCCAAAGGCCUUAUGAACCUCAAUUAAAUUUUCACAACCACGAAUGUCCAAUUUCUCUAAGUUUGGGGCACCCAAGUCAGAGAUACCACCUUUCGAGCUUAUGAAGGGAUCCAAAGGCCUCAUGAACCUCAAUUAAAUUUUCACAACCACGAAUGUCCAAUUUCUCCAAGUUUGGGGCACCCAAGUCAGGUAAUUUUUCAAGACUUACACAACCGUAUAGAUUAAUUUCUUCAAGAGAGUUCAAGCUAAAGCUGCUAGGAAGUAUUUGAAGUUUUUUACAAUUGCAGAGAUACCACCUUUCGAGCUUAUGAAGAGAUCCAAAGGCCUCAUGAACCUCAAUUAAAUUUUCACAACCACGAAUGUCCAAUUUCUCUAAGUUUGGGGCACCCAAGUCAGGUAAUUUUUCAAGACUUACACAGCCAUAUAGAUUAAUUUCUUCAAGAGAUUUCAACCUAAAGCUGCUAGGAAGUAUUUGAAGUUUUUUGCAGUUGCAGAGAUACCACCUUUCGAGCUUAUGAAGAGAUCCAAAGGCCUCAUGAACCUCAAUUAAAUUUUCACAACCACGAAUGUCCAAUAUCUCUAAGUUUGGGGCACCCAAGUCAGAGAUACCACCUUUCGAGCUUAUGAAGAGAUCCAAAGGCCUCAUGAACCUCAAUUAAAUUUUCACAACCACGAAUGUCCAAUAUCUCUAAGUUUGGGGCACCCAAGUCAGAGAUACCAUCUUUCGAGCUUAUGAAGAGAUCCAAAGGCCUCAUGAACCUCAAUUAAAUUUUCACAACC